GGCGGGGCCGCGGGGCUUCCGCUACGGGACUCAACGGACGUACCGAGGGAACGCCCACGACUGGUCCUGCUCCUCAGGCCGGACGCGCCUCGCUUCGGCUCGGCCAAGCCCAAGGUUCCCACUGGCCCGGACCUUUGGUCCUGCCUUGCAACGGCUUCUGUUUUUUGUGGACUCUAUACUGAUUUCCAUAAUGGUUGACUAGUUCAUGUUCCCACCAACAAGGAGAUAGUAGAAGGACUCUCCCACCCGGCCUCACCAGCAUUUGGAGGAAAGAUGCCAAGUUCCGAGCACCCCUAUGGAGAAACUGCUUCCUAUGGUAGCUAAAUAAAUAAGCAGAGAUGGAGUCUCCACCUUCAUCCCACUCCCAGCUGACCUCUUGAUUGCAACUUCAUGAGAGGUCCUGAAUGAGAACCAUCCAGCCCCUUGUGGUUCCGGAAUAACCUCGCCUCACUUGGAUUCCUCUCCAGGCUGUUGUUUUCCAGACUACACAGCUUGUCUUGGAGAGUGCUGGCGCUCACUGCUCCGCCAUUUCAGCUUCCUCACGUUCGUCGCUGCAUUAUUUAUAGAUAGAACUUUGAAGAAAAUAUUUGAAUAUGUCACGUAUGCAUUGAACAAGUACUGUUAACAGUGAACUUUGCUCUUACAGACUUGAUCAUGAGUUCCAUGAGUUUUUGCCAGAAGUCAAAGAGAAAUACCUUGAUUUGUCCCACCACGUGGAAAUGUAAAGACUUAUCAAAAUUUGGAGUUUUAGGGGCCAGGGAUUUAGCUCAGUGGUUCUCGCACCUGCCUCACAAGCACAAGGUCCUGAGUUCAAUCCCCGGUACUCAAAGAAAAAUUUUGAAGUUUUAGUACGAUACUUUGAACUCAGGGCCAAGAUUUAAUUUUUUUCUGAACAAAAAGAACCUGUUUGAUCCACUCUUCUAAAAUAGUGAAUGACUUUGGGAAUAAGAUUUUACUAUGGAUUUGAAAGUGUUUCUUAAUGCAUUUAAGUUAAUAGUAAAAGGCAAAAAGGUUCUUUUUUUUUUUUGGUACCGGGGAUUGAACUUGGGUCCUUGCACUUGCGCAGCAGGCGGCAACCCCACUGAGCUAAAUCCCUGGGCCCAAAAUGGUUCUUAUAUGCAAAAUUGUAUUGUGGUAAAGUAAUUUUUACUUUACUAAUACUGAGUAACAAGUCAUGUUAAGCUGCUUUAUGUACUUCACAUGAUGUCAAAAGUCUAAACCAAAGAAAGAUCUCUAGCCACGCACAGUGGUGCAUCCCUUUAACUCAGCUGCUUGGGAGGCUGAGGCAGGAAGAUCAUAACUUGGUAGCCAGUUGGGCACCUUAGUGAGACUCUCAAAAUCAAAACCAGCCCGGUGGUCAGUCUGAAUAGGAAAAGGAGGAAGUUGAGGGGGACAAGGAAGAGCAGCAGGAGGAGGGGAAGAAGCAGAAGAUCAUCUCUGUACCAGUACAAAUAUCCAGUGAGAUCAUACUUGGAGCUCAAAAUACAGCUGAAGCAGUGUUUUUUUGGAGCUUGUAUUCUGAAGGGAAGUUUAUACCCUGCAAAAUCUACUUAACUGUGCAGUGGAGAAGGUUCCCCAUAAUCUUCAACUCAGAGUGAUUAAUAUGCAGUGGAGUGAUAAGGUAAAACAAAUAUCACGAGUAGAAUCUAAUAGGAUCUCAUAAAUGCCUUGUAUGUGAUGGGUACCCACAAUUAAAAUAGCAUGCUUAUGUACAGAUAUCAGUACUGGUAAUACCUAUCUUUGUGAAAAGACAUUUUAAAAAAUGAAAUACAUAAUAUCUCAUUACAGAUGACCAUUAAUAGAUAAAAAUUUUCAGUUGAUUAUGAUGACAACUAACUUUGAUCCCCAAUUAAGGAAAAUGUUAUCGCACCCAAAAGAAUUCCAUUCUUGGGCCGGGGAUUUAGCUCAGUGGUUUUGCCGCCUGCUGUGCAAACACAAGGACCAAGAAUUCCAUUCUUUUCAUUGGAAAAACUGUGUAUGUAACCAAAAAUUUGUACUUAUUGUAAUUUGAAUUUUUUCAAUUAAAAUUUUGUGAAAUCUGUUUUUUUUCCUCUCUUGUUACAUAAAUACCUGCAUAAAUCCUUGA